GCGUCGGUGGUGCAACGGUUAAGCACAUGCUCCCGGAAAGAGUAAGAUCUGGGUUCAAACGGCUUCUUUUCCCGGCUGGCGCA